GAUCCUGGCUCAGGACGAACGCUGGCGGCGUGCCUAACACAUGCAAGUCGAACGGAACUUCUUUAAAGGAUUUCUUCGGAAUGAAUUUGAUUAAGUUUAGUGGCGGACGGGUGAGUAACGCGNGAGUAACCUGCCUCUGAGAGGGGAAUAACAUUCUGAAAAGAAUGCUAAUACCGCAUAAUAUAUAUUUAUCGCAUGGUAGAUAUAUCAAAGAUUUAUCGCUUAGAGAUGGACUCGCGUCCGA
rnacentral:rRNA from 1 species